CCUAUAAAUAGAGCACAAGGGACACUACACAAGAUACACAUACACACACAUUGUCAUCAAAUCAGUAGUUGCAUUUCACCUACUGAAAUAUGGCCAUGACUGUGACCCCAAAUAAGUUCUCUGUCCUCUUCUUGGUCUUGCUUCUCAUUUCGGCCUCAGAGUUUAGAACAGGUGAUGCCAAGGUUUGCCAAAAGAAAAGCCAAACAUGGUCAGGAGAGUGCGGGAAUACCAACCAUUGCAAGACCCAAUGCCAAAAAUAUGAGGACGCCAGGUUCGGAGCAUGCCACAGCCAAGGAUUUGGACAUGCAUGCUUUUGCUACUUCACUUGCUAGAAGCCAUGGCAUAUAUUAUCACUAUGACUAUAAAAAAUUAUGACUUGGGAAUCCUAGUAAUAACUAUUGUAGUCCCAAACAUAGAUUAUUAGGGAUUUUAAAUAAGUGGGAUCCCUCCACAAGUGGAGUAGAUUUAAUUUGAGUCCUAGACCUAGUGUUUACUGCCUUUCCUGUGUUUUUUAUUGUUUGUUCUGAGCACAAAAUGUUCCACUUGUCAUGUAUUGUUGGGUCUUGUGUUCCAUGAGCAUGUAAUGUCAUGUGCUAAGCUUUGUACUUGCUUGAAUUUGUUG